GGUGCCAGCAGCCGCGGUAAUCCAGCUCCAAUAGCGUAUAUUAAAGUUGUUGCAGUUAAAAGACUCGUAGUUGAAUUUCGGGACCAGCAGGUUGGUCUUGCCACUGGUAUGUACUAGCUUGCUGAUUCCUCCUUCUUGUAGAACCGUAAUGCCAUUAAUUUGGUGUUGCGGGGAAACAGGACUGUUACUUUGAAAAAAUUAGAGUGUUUAAAGCAGGCUAGCGCCUGAAUACAUUAGCAUGGAAUAAUGAAAUAGGACGUUCGACCUAUUUUGUUAGGUUUCUAGGAUUGACGUAAUGAUUAAUAGGGAUAUUGGGGGCAUUAGUAUUCAAUUGUCAGAGGUGAAAUUCUUGGAUUUAUUGAAGACUGACUACUGCGAAAGCAUUUGCCAAGGAUGUUUUCAUUAAUCAAGAACGAAAGUUAGGGGAUCGAAGACGAUCAGAUACCGUCGUAGUCUUAACCAUAAACUAUGCCGACUAGGGAUCGGAUGAUGUUAAUUUUUUUAAUGACUCAUUCGGCGCCUUACG
rnacentral:rRNA from 1 species